rnacentral:rRNA from 1 species
UGGGGAAUAUUGGGCAAUGGGCGAAAGCCUGACCCAGCAACGCCGCGUGAAUGAUGAAGGCCUUCGGGUUGUAAAAUUCUUUGGACAGGGACGAAGAAAGUGACGGUACCUGUAGAACAAGCCACGGCUAACUACGUGCCAGCAGCCGCGGUAAUACGUAGGUGGCGAGCGUUAUCCGGAAUUACUGGGCGUAAAGAGCUCGUAGGCGGUUUGUCACGUCGUCUGUGAAAUCCUAGGGCUUAACCCUGGACGUGCAGGCGAUACGGGCUGACUUGAGUACUACAGGGGAGACUGGAAUUUCUGGUGUAGCGGUGGAAUGCACAGAUAUCAGGAAGAACACCGAUGGCGAAGGCAGGUCUCUGGGUAGUAACUGACGCUGAGGAGCGAAAGCAUGGGUAGCGAACAGG